rnacentral:rRNA from 1 species
AUACGGAGGAUGCAAGCGUUAUCCGGAUUUAUUGGGUUUAAAGGGUGCGUAGGCGGUUUGCUAAGCGGGAGGAGAAAUGCCGGCGCUCAACGUCGGAAGUGCCUCCCGAACUGGUGGACUGGAAUGACUCUGCCGUGGGAGGAAUGUGUAGUGUAGCGGUGAAAUGCUUAGAGAUUACACAGAACACCGAUUGCGAAGGCAUCUCACGAAGGGUUGAUUGACGCUGAGGCACGAAAGCGUGGGGAUCAAACAGGAUUAGAUACCCUGGUAGUCCACGCAGUAAACGAUGAUGGCUAACCGCUGGUUUAUUCGGAUCAGUGGCCAAGCGAAAGCGAUAAGCCAUCCACCUGGGGAGUACGACCGCAAGGUUGAAACUCAAAUGAAUUGACGGGG